UUAACCUACUCAGGUACAUCAGGAAACUAGAAGUGUUUAUUUUUCAAAAAAGAAGUUCUUAGUUUGAAGAGAUAAGGUGUUUGGCCAAAUUUCAAGAGAAAGAAAUUGUCUUUGAGUAGUAGUAAAAGUGGCUUUAACUUUUUCAAGACAAAAUACACUUGCACAAUAUUUUAAAUGUACCAAACUAUUCGAACAGUAUAGAGGAAGUCUAAACUCAUGCGUUGUCGAGAACACAUCUAUGACCAAAGUCUCAUAACAGGCUCCCACUCCAUAUGUAUUGAU